rnacentral:sRNA from 1 species
AUGUGCUUCCGGUCUCCCAUACCGCAGGAGGGCGGUCUUCCCCGGGUCGCCAACUCGGCUGCUCUGGGGGAUUCGUGCGCGGUGUGUUUCCAUUGUAGAAAACCUGGUCAUGGAAUUGCAGAUUGCCCCGCCGCCCUUGAAAAUCAAGACAUGGGCACUGGGAUAUGUUACAGGUGUGGGUCCACAGAGCACGAAAUAACCAAGUGUAAGGCUAAAGUAGACCCGGCUCUUGGCGAAUUUCCUUUUGCAAAAUGUUUUGUUUGUGGAGAAAUGGGGCACCUGUCUAGAUCUUGUCCUGAUAAUCCCAAAGGACUCUAUGCUGAUGGUGGCGGUUGCAAACUUUGUGGCUCUGUGGAACAUUUAAAGAAAGAUUGCCCUGAAAGUCAGAAUUCAGAGCGAAUGGUCACAGUUGGUCGCUGGGCAAAGGGAAUGAGUGCAGACUAUGAAGAAAUUUUGGAUGUACCUAAACCGCAAAAACCCAAAACAAAAAUACCUAAAGUUGUUAAUUUUUGAUAACAGCUAGCACUAUCAUGAGUUACCACCUCAUUGUUACUUUCUAAACCAGGCCCGCUUCACGAGUUAGAGUUGAGCUCCCCUGUAGCCAGGACUAUGCUGUAGAUAUCAGUAUGAUCUGGGUGUGGCCAAAAACAAUUUUCUUUAUUCUGUCUAUCAAAUAGUACUUCUACCACUGUUUGGAGAAAAUUGAAGAAAAAAAUAAGAUGAUUAAAUGAAUUCUCUAAAAGAACAUAUUUUAAGAGACAGAACUUA